rnacentral:tRNA from 3 species
GCGCCCAUAGCACAACUGGAUAGUGCAACAGCCUUCUAAGCUGUAGGUUCCAGGUUCGAGUCCUGGUGGGCGCGCCA